rnacentral:rRNA from 1 species
ACGAACGCUGGCGGCGUGCUUAACACAUGCAAGUCGAGCGGAAAGGCCACUUCGGUGGUACUCGAGCGGCGAACGGGUGAGUAACACGUGAGUAAUCUGCCCUCCACUUUGGGAUAGCCACCGGAAACGGUGAUUAAUACCGGAUAUGACCUGGUACCGCAUGGUGCUUGGUGGAAAGUUUUUCGGUGGGGGAUGUGCUCGCGGCCUAUCAGCUUGAUGGUGGGGUAAUGGCCUACCAUGGCUUCGACGGGUAGCCGGCCUGAGAGGGUGACCGGCCACACUGGGACUGAGACACGGCCCAGACUCCUACGGGAGGCAGCAGUGGGGAAUAUUGGACAAUGGGCGGAAGCCUGAUCCAGCAACGCCGCGUGAGGGAUGACGGCCUUCGGGUUGUAAACCUCUUUCGCCUGCGACGAAGCGAAAGUGACGGUAGCAGGUAAAGAAGCACCGGCCAACUACGU